GAGACAGUCAAAAGUUGUGAGCUCAGUUUCCAACUGCUUUUACCCUGCUAUAGGGCAGGCUUAAACAAGAUUGUUUUAUAUGAAUCCUGGUGUCAGCAAUCUUUUCCCCCUUUCCACUGGAGCUGAGGACCCUCACUUUAGUUGCCAUUCUUCAGCAUUGUUAAGGAUUUUGACACUAAACGGGAAGGGGCCCCAGCAAGACUGGAAUCUUGAGGAAGCAGAGAGCUUCUUUUGAAGAACAAUUGAUCUCUCAGUGUGGAGAAGCUGAACAGGGAGAGCUGAAUAAGACUUUUCUCCUGAGGUUUAUACACCUUUUUCCUGCUUGUGACUGAAAAUCCUUCCCCCCAACAUUUCCCAGUUGAAAAGACUAUUGAAGAGAAACCUGAGAAAAGGCAUUUUGAGUCUCUGUCAGACUUUACCUCAUCUCCUGUUGCCCUGGGUCUGAACUGUAGCCAAGGGGCCAAACCUAGGGUCAGUCAACCUGACUAUCUCUCAGGGGGCUCAGGCUGCCAAAGCCUUAGUUUUCCCCAAACACAAGGAUGGAAGAAAAAGGGAUUUAGCUAGAGAAAGGGACCCCCUCUUGCCCUGCUUUCCUUUCCCAUUCUUUUCCCUUAUCAGUCAUUCCUUUAUACAACUAAUUGACAUUAAAGUAGUUAUCUUUUCCCAAAAUUUUGAAUCAGGUGUGAGUGAACAGCAUCAAGGGGGAGAGACAUCUUCUUAAGAAGAAACAUCUUAGUCUCUAGUAGUGGAGGGGGCACAAGAGGGACAAGGGCAAAUCUGGGAGAGCAGCCAUAGUUAAGGAGGGAAGGGUGAAGGGGGAAAAUCUUCAAACCCCCUCUCCUCUUUCUGAGUCAACCCUAAACAUCAGCUAUCUCUCCUAGAUCCUGUUUCCUUUUACCACCUACAAACCUUCAUCCAUUCCCAUUGCAAACUUUAAAUUCUUUAUGACAGUAAUUUUAGGAUAAGAAACACACUAUGUCUCUGAAUCCAGAAAGUGAACUUUUUGGAUGAGGCACCAUUAAGAUGCUUGCACAGACCACAUGCUGCAUCAGAACAUUCAGAGUGAACUUUGGGAUGUGGUGAUUUGAACUGUGUGGGGUUGAGUACAUUUAUUUUGAAUGUACACUCUUAUACCAAAGGGGACUUCCCCCUAACUGACUUUUUGUCAAUGUGGCUAGCAAUCAUUGGUUUUGUUCUCUUUUUCUUUUAUCCCCAAAUUAUUGUAAUUUCAAAGUUGGUUAUGUUUACAAGAUCCAUUGGAGAGACUAGUCUUGCAUGGACCUGGGGGGGGGGGAAUUUGUAUAAUUGAAAAUCUGUUACCCUAAAAAAAGAACUAUAUUUCCCAGGAGCCCACCAACUUCCUGUCAUUGCAUACUUCCUGUAGACAGAGGAUAUCAGGUGGGGAUGUAGAGGGUCCUGCCUCUUUAUUUCCUGAUCCAAGCUUGGUUGUUGUAAGGAGGUUGUUUGAACUGGUUGUUCAGCCAUGGGCAUGUGGUCUUUAUUUUGUAUCCUCUUUAUUCCUUGAUUUCUAAUGAUCACUAAUAAAUCCCUUACAAUAACAUAUAAUCUCUUAUAA
ensembl:lncRNA